UACGAAGGGGGCUAGCGUUGCUCGGAAUCACUGGGCGUAAAGGGUGCGUAGGCGGGUCUUUAAGUCAGGGGUGAAAUCCUGGAGCUCAACUCCAGAACUGCCUUUGAUACUGAAGAUCUUGAGUUCGGGAGAGGUGAGUGGAACUGCGAGUGUAGAGGUGAAAUUCGUAGAUAUUCGCAAGAACACCAGGGGCGAAGGCGGCUCACUGGCCCGAUACUGGAGCUGAGGCACGAAAGCGUGGGGAGCAAACAGG
rnacentral:rRNA from 1 species